rnacentral:rRNA from 1 species
UACUCCUACGGGAGGCAGCAGUGGGGAAUAUUGGACAAUGGGCGAAAGCCUGAUCCAGCAAUGCCGCGUGAGUGAUGAAGGCCUUAGGGUUGUAAAGCUCUUUUACCCGGGAUGAUAAUGACAGUACCGGGAGAAUAAGCUCCGGCUAGCUCCGUGCCAGCAGCCGCGGUAAU